rnacentral:misc_RNA from 1 species
CCACUUUUUAAGCUCUCUUUCCCAAUUUUCCAAUAAAGAGGCAGGACAUACAAUUAAAUGUGGACCGGGGUCAUUGUUCAAGUGUUUCAACAACAUUAAAUAUGUAAUUGCCUGAAUGGUCUUCCCAAGCCCCAUCUCAUCUGCCAAUAUGGCUCCUCCAAUGCCCUUUCUAUACAGCAAAAGAAGAAAGUUCACACCAACCAGCUGAUAUGGCUUGAGUACAGGCUGAAAAUCUGAAUCCACCACUGCACAUGCUGCAGCAAUAUCACUCUGAGUCAC